rnacentral:rRNA from 1 species
UACGGAGGAUGCGAGCGUUAUCCGGAUUUAUUGGGUUUAAAGGGUGCGUAGGCGGGCUUUUAAGUCAGCGGUAAAAAUUCGGGGCUCAACCCCGUCCGGCCGUUGAAACUGGGGGCCUUGAGUGGGCGAGAAGAAGGCGGAAUGCGUGGUGUAGCGGUGAAAUGCAUGGAUAUCACGCAGAACCCCGAUUGCGAAGGCAGCCUUCCGGCGCCCUACUGACGCUGAGGCACGAAAGUGCGGGGAUCGAACAGG